rnacentral:RNase_P_RNA from 3 species
AGGGCAGAUCGGGCAAUCGCGGGGCGUCUCAGGCGUUUCGAGGAAGGUCCGGACUCCACAGGGCAGGAUAGCGGCUAACGGCCGUCCGGAUGCGAGGCGGGGCUUUGCCCCGCCUUGUUCAUUCGAGGAACAGGGCCACAGAGACGAGUCUGCGGCGCGGGCGCGCCUGGCGCGCACAGGCACGGCCAUCUCCGUGCUUCGCUCGCCGGCAACGGCGGGCGGCGCCGCAGGGUGAAACGCGGCAACCUCUAUCCGGAGCAACAUCAAAUAGGCAUGCGCACGGCUCUUCGGAGCCGGAAAGGGCGGCUCGUCCGAGCAUGCGGGUAGAUGGCUACAGCCGUCCAGCAAUGGCCGGCGCAGAGGAAUGAUUGCCCGCCGGGGCGACCCGGCGUACAGAAUCCGGCCUAUAGAUCUGUCCUGCCU